UCAGACGAUGCGUCAUGCAUAUCAAUAAGCGGAGGAAAAGAAACUAACAAGGAUUCCCCUAGUAACGGUGAGUGAAGCGGGAAGAGCUCAAAUUUGAAAUCUUAAAGGGUUUCCCUUUACGAAUUGUAGUUUAAAGAAGUGUUUUCUGUUGAGGUUUUGGUAAAAGUUCUUUGGAAUAGGACAUCAUAGAGGGUGAGAAUCCCGUAUUUGACCUUUACUUUCAACUUUGUGAUACACUUUCAAAGAGUCGGAUUGUUUGGGAAUGCAGUCCAAAAUGGGUGGUAAAUUUCAUCUAAAGCUAAAUAUUGGCGAGAGACCGAUAGCGAACAAGUACCGUGAGGGAAAGAUGAAAAGAACUUUGAAAAGAGAGUUAAACAGUACGUGAAAUUGUCAAAAGGGAAGCGUUUGACACCAGUGUUGUUUUUCUGAAAAUCAAUUAAAGAACUGUUUAUGCUAAGCUGUUUAGACUUUAUCAGCUAACUGUUUAGUUUUGAGCUUUUCUUUAAUGCACUUUUCAGUUAACAAGUCAACAUCAAUUUCUUUUGCUGUAAAAAAGCUUGAGGAAGGUGGCUUGAGAUUCGUCUUAAGUGUUUAUAGCCUCUUGCCUAUGCAGUCGGAGAGAUUGAGGUCUGCAGCGUAGAUCCUUCGGGGCUAAAUGCAUUUGUGCUAAGCUAUAGCAUUUCAUAGACAACUUGUUGACUAUGAUUUGUCUUGUAGCUUACUCGCUUAUGUUAUUUUACCUACGCUUAGGAUGUUGAAUCUGUGCGAGACUAC
rnacentral:rRNA from 1 species